CUUGAAGGUUCACUUCUACCCUUUUCCAUUGUCUUACUCCAGUGUUGUCAGUUAUCUGUUUGAAGCAAUUCAGCUAGCUAGUUAGUACUUAGUAGCAAUACUUUUUGUUUCAGGCUCCGUUUGGUUUGGUGUAAACCGUUUUCAGUGCAAAAUGAUUUUUCAUGUAAAACACUUUCCGAGGAAAAAAAACAAUUUGAAACUAGUUUUCCUUUGUUUGGUUUCUUAAGAGAAAAUGGGAGAAGAUGGUGAAGAUCAAGGGGAAGAAGGGAGAGGGAGGAAAGGUGGAAAAGUAGUUCAUCUCCCAAACUAAACCACGUAAAAUGAUUGAAAAAAGGAAAAUCGUUUUCCAUGAAAAUGUUUACACCCCCUUACCAAACAGAGCCUAAAUGUAGAAGAGGAAACUAGAAGAAAAUACAGUUUUUACCAUGAUUGAUGAAAAUCUGGGGUUGAUGGGAAGGAAAACGUCUCGAAGUUGUGUGACAGCACAUGAAUCAUCAAAGGGAACUUCAGUUUCCAGAAUUGCAAGGAUGCAGACUGAUAAUGCUUUGCUGUUGAAGUAUUGUCCGGUAGGCGAUACAGGUAAUUAUUUGUUACCGCAAGUGCGCUGUGCUGUUGUCUGAAACCAGCAGAGUUGAAUGGGAUAUCUAGUGCAGCAUAGUGAUUAUGGUUAGUUGGAAACCAAGAAGAAAGAAAGUCGUGGGUCGGGCCUGGGACGCAUUUUUUUUGGAAAAAGCACGACCCGGCACGACAAAAACACUAUAUUUAGCAAAAUUAGGCUUAGGCACAAGGCCCGAUCUGGCCCAACCCGAAGCCCGGCCCACAACCAUCUUUAUUGGCGCGGAAGCCUCUUUGAAGGCAGUGGGGGUAAUGCAAUGACUUCAUUCCCGUACUUAUAUUCAAGAUUGUCAACUACUAGUACAAACUACCCAUAUUUGUUGUCCCGGUCAUUUUCAUUGCAUCGUACGUAUGAUAUCCCUGCAGUUAUGCUGUCGAGACCAGGACCACUAUCGGGUUAUUAUGCAUCCAAAGUACCGUAUCUUUUGGCUUGAAGCGUUCAUUUUGAAUACGUCUAUUUCCCUAAUUAACUAGCUAGUUAGCCAACUGACAUGGUGCGAGUUCACCAAAAUGCCCGUGAUGAGAAAUUUGUAAACAUUAAGGGCAACAUUUUACGUGCCCCUUGCUACGCGCUUAAUUGUUAGGCUAAUUAGCCGGAUGUUGAUUUCCGAUCCCCCGGUUCUGGUAUACAGGAAGAUUAGUAGAUAUGAGGUGAGGGCCAGCCUUAUGGGUAAUAAAUUUUGAUGUAAUAAUUUCUGAAAGAUGCAGCGUAAAUUGAUAAAUAGUCCAUGCUUUUAUGUUUUCUGGUA